AUUGAACGCUGGAGGCAGGCCUAACACAUGCAAGUCGAACGAGUGGCGGAAGGGUGAGUAAUGUAUGGGAAACUGCCUGAUGGAGGGGGAUAACUACUGGAAACGGUAGCUAAUACCGCAUACCAUCGGAUGUGCCCGGAUGGGAUUAGGUAGUAGGUGGGGUAAAGGCUCACCUAGGCGACGAUCCCUAGAUGUUCUGAGAGGAUGACCAGCCACACUGGAACUGAGACACGGUCCAGACUCCUACUGGAGGCAGCAGUGGGGAAUAUGGCACAAUGGGCGCAAGCCUGAGGCAGCCAUGCCGCGGGUAUGAAGAAGUCCUUCGGGUUGUAAAGUACUUUCAGCGGGGAGGCGUUACCCGCAGAAGAAGCACCGGCUAACUCCGUGCCAGCAGCCGCGGUAAUUC
rnacentral:rRNA from 1 species